UUGAGUAAUCUUGAGGUAGGCGGAAUGUGUAGUGUAGCGGUGAAAUGCUUAGAUAUUACACAGAACACCGAUUGCGAAGGCAGCUUACUAAGGAUUUACUGACGCUGAUGCACGAAAGCGUGGGGAUCAAACAGGAUUAGAUACCCUGGUAGUCCACGCCGUAAACGAUGAUAACUCGCUGUUGGCGAUACACAGUCAGCGGCUUAGCGAAAGCGUUAAGUUAUCCACCCGGGGAGUACGCUCGCAAGAGUGAAACUCAAAGGAAUUGACGGGGGCCCGCACAAGCGGAGGAACAUGUGGUUUAAUUCGAUGAUACGCGAGGAACCUUACCUGGGCUUAAAUGUGCUAUGACCGCCGGAGAAAUUUGGCUUUUCGCGAGAACAGAGUACAAGGUGCUGCAUGGUUGUCGUCAGCUCGUGCCGUGAGGUGUCGGGUUAAGUCCCAUAACGAGCGCAACCCUUAUUGUCAGUUGCUAACAGGUAAAGAUGAGGACUCUGGCGAGACUGCCACCGUAAGGUGUGAGGAAGGUGGGGAUGACGUCAAAUCAGCACGGCCCUUAUGUCCAGGGCUACACACGUGUUACAAUGGCCAGUACAAAGGGCAGCUACCGGGUGACCGGAUGCUAAUCUCUAAAGCUGGUCUCAGUUCGGAUCGAAGUCUGCAACCCGACUUCGUGAAGCUGGAUUCGCUAGUAAUCGCGCAUCAGCCAUGGCGCGGUGAAUACGUUCCCGGGCCUUGUACACACCGCCCGUCAAACCAUGGGAGUUGGGGGUACCUGAAGUAUGUGUCCCCAGGAGCGUCCUAGGGUAAAACCAAUGUCUGGGGUUAUCUAACAAGGUA
rnacentral:rRNA from 1 species